GAGCCUUGCAACUGUGUGCCCUGGAGCCAAGGGAUGAGAAAUCAAGAGAAAGGAAGAGACAGCCUCUCUGAUGCACCAGUGAUGCACAUGGAUAUAAAUGAGUGGCCACAGUGCACUGAGGGAUUGACGGCAAAAUCUUUGGGCACUGAGCUCUCUCCACACAGACAGGCUGUUCAAAAGACUUGGAGGCCUUGGAGGAAAUUCGUUAAAUCCUAAGGGAUAAACUAAUGGCACAGGAACGAAGGAGAAGCCAUUUUGUCCUGAAGAUGGCAUGUUGCCCGGCCAUUGACAGAUGAGUGGAAACCCACACGCCAAGGGAUGCCGGAAGCAUGGCUUUUUCUCUUGGAAUGAUGAGGAGCUCCAAAUGCAAAAUGUGUGACUCAUUCUCUCAAACACCAUGGUCAAACAUGGAGGAGAGGAGGUCAUGGUACUCCUCCAAGCUCAGCCCCCUGAACAAGCCUGCCAGAUACCAAAAUGAGAUGUUAUGAGACAUUUGGCUGGUGUAACUGGUCUCCCCACUUCACACCCUCAAGCAGCAAAGCAGUGCUGGCUGGUAGAAAUCAACAGUGUAGACACAAUCCCUUUUGGUUUCCAGUUAAAGCUGGGAAUUUCUGGAGCUGUUUGUAGCUCCUGAAAGUUUCUGGGUGAGGAGAUGUACCUCUCCAUCCCCAUAGGAAUGAGUCAGCUGCUGGGGCCAAGCAGGACAGCCAGAGAAGGUACUUUCCAAAGUCUGUGUUGUAUUCUCCACUGUGCCCCUUUUCUUCUCCCUCCUGAGCACAGGGGAUUUUGCUCUCUCUUUGGAAUGGCCUUGUCAAAUACUCUUGACCUGCUACAUGAAGCCUUGGAAGAAGGUAUUUCCCUUAGUUUGAUCCUCCACCAUUACAGUGAGAUGAGUGUGGAACAAUCCUUUAUUAAAGGGUCAUGAGAUCACUGAUGUCACUGGUCUGUGAAAUCACUGAGGAGCAGAAAAUGGAUCAUUGGCCUCUGAAAAUCCUAUAAAACUGUGGGGAAUGUCUCCAGUCCAGCCCUCCUCUGCUCUUGACAGCUUUUUUCACCACAGAGACCUCCCUUGCUUCGAUGCUGUAAUCCAGGCAACAGCCAGCCCUUUCCUUGCCAAUGCCUCCCUUGAUGUGCACUGUGGGUUGGCUUUUCUGUGUCAGCGAGGCUUAGGGCCUAGUUUUUCAAUCCAGCCUCCACCCAGCCUCUGUGAACGUGCUUAUCCUCCACGCAGAGACAGGCAUUGGAUUGAGCCACUCUUUGAGAUGCUUUUGGGUUUGAAGGGGGUGGUUUGUGUUCUUCACACUGGGCUGAACCACAAAGGCACGAGGGGAGUUCUUGUGCAAGAUGUGCAGCUGCGGGCUAUGGCACCAGGUAUGUGUGAAAAGGAAGGUAGCUCAGAUCUGCCUUUAGCAGAGUCCUGGUGAAGGCUGGCACAGCUCUGAAGGACUGCUGUGAAUUAGCUUCCCUUGCCAGCUUCAUUUUGUUCUCUUCCUAAAGGACUGCUGCAAGGCCUAGUGGAGAGUCUUCCAUCUUUUGCCUUCCUAAAAGCUCACUCGGGGGCUGAUAUUUCCCCCACACUUGCAUUUUACCCUGGAUUAGUGGCUUAAUUUCAGCCACAGUAAAGGGUAGACUUCAUCCAUCACUUCUCUAAAUAUUCCCUUGAAAUCCAGCCAGAAAAGGAUGAGGAAUCCAUACAGGAAACCUUCUCAUAUGCUUCUUGCAGACAAGAAUGAUGCAAUGAGCCUUUCUGGUUGCUCCCAUUUCUGCAGGAUUAGGAGCCUUUGACCACCUUGGGUUUGGAAAUUUCUAGAGAAGAUACUUGGUAUGAAGGUGAUAGGAGCUGCUAUGGGCUUAAAGAGGUGAAAGUCUGACCUUAUGCCUCCUGGAGAUGGAGAACAAUCUAUCCUGUUCCUUUUUUAGGCCUAUUUACAUAUCUGAACGUUAUUACAGUUUCCCUUUCCUUUUCUCCUUUGCAGACUAAAAAAAUAUAGUUCUUUCAACCUUUACUCAUAGGUCAUGGUUACUAGGCUGCUUCCACAGACUCUAAGAAGUUUACACCUCUCUUGAACUGCAUUGCCAAAACCGGAGAGAACCAGAAAUCACGCGGCUUUCCUACUGCUGCAUGAAAUCAAAUGGUUGCAGCAUACAUGGUAUACGUGGCCCUUUUGUUAACAUGCCCCAACAGAGUCAUUUGUUUUCACAUCUGUGUGCUGCCAAGUCAGUAACAACACCCACCACCAUAAUGACAUCCAUAUCCUUUGCUGAAGGCCUUGUUGCCCCCUGGAUAUGCACACAGCGGAUUAUCCGUCUAAAUGCUGGGGUUUGCAUUUGCCUUCACUCCAUUGCA